UACGUAGGGUGCAAGCGUUUGUCCGGAUUUAUUGGGCGUAAAGAGCUCGUAGGCGGUUUAGAAAGUCAGGUGUGAAACCUCCAGCUCAACCUGGAGACGCCACUUGAUACUUCUAUGACUUGAGUUCGGUAGGGGACCAUGGAAUUCCUGGUGUAGCGGUGAAAUGCGCAGAUAUCAGGAGGAACACCGAUGGCGAAGGCAGUGGUCUGGGCCGAUACUGACGUGAGGAGCGAAAGCGUGGGGAGCGAACAGG
rnacentral:rRNA from 1 species